rnacentral:rRNA from 1 species
AUUGAACGCUGGCGGCAGGCCUAACACAUGCAAGUCGAACGAGUUGCGGACGGGUGAGUAAUGUCUGGGAAACUUCCUGAUGGAGGGGGAUCACUACUGGAAAUGGUAGCUAAUACCGCAUACCAUCGGAUGUGCCUAAAUGGGAUUAGCUCGUAGGUGGGGUAACGGCUCACCUAGGCGACGAUCUCUAGCUGGUCUGAGAGGAUGACCAGCCACACUGGAACUGAGACACGGUCCAGACUCCUACGGGAGGCAGCAGUGGGGAAGAUUGCACAAUGGGCGCAAGCCUGAUGCAGCCAUGCCGCGUGUAUGAAGAAGGCCUUCGGGUUGUAAAGUACUUUCAGCGGGGAGGCGUUACCCGCAGAAGAAGCACCGGCUAACUCCGUGCCAGCAGCCGCGGUAAUAC